ACGUAGGUGGCAAGCGUUGUCCGGAUUUAUUGGGCGUAAAGCGCGCGCAGGCGGUUCUUUAAGUCUGAUGUGAAAUCUCGUGGCUCAACCGCGAGCGGUCAUUGGAAACUGGGGAACUUGAGUGCAGAAGAGGAGAGUGGAAUUCCACGUGUAGCGGUGGAAUGCGUAGAGAUCCGGAAGAACACCGGUGGCGAAGGCGGCCCGCUGGGCAGUGACUGACGCUGAGGCGCGACAGCGUGGGGAGCAAACAGGA
rnacentral:rRNA from 1 species